GAGGGGAAGAUCCAACUCAGAUGGCUCUGCUUCCCAUGCAGGCUGCAACUGGAUGGGGACUUCUUGGACUCAGAAAGAAAACCAUGUGGGAAGGAGGCUUGCUAGUACCUGAUUCAACGUACUCAAGGUCCUGAAAGCCCAUCUCACCUUAAAACUAAGGUCAGAGCAAGCUCACAGGGAAGAAGACCAUGUGAAGAUGGAGGCAGAGAUUGGAGUGAUGCUGUCACAAGCCAAGGAAUGACAGGAGCCACUAGGAGCUGGAAAAGUGAAGAAUGGGAUGUGCCAGUUGGAUACAGAGCAGAGUUUUAAAGUCGUCCUCGGCUUCUGCACACCAAGGACAACCUACAGCCCAGCUUUGCUCUUGGGAUGCCCCCUCCUAAGAUGAACAGGUAAACAAAAGGUAGGUACCAUUGUUAUCCCCUUUUUAUAGAUGAGGAAACUGAGGCACAGAAAUGGAUUGAGCAAUUUUCCAAGGUCACACAGUU